AUAAUUGCUGAGAAGGAAAAGAGUACCUGCUAAUUUCUGUGAAAGCGAAUCCGGGAAGGUGGAAGCCGGAUGACAGAAACCCAGGGAAGGCAUUCCUGAGCAAUAUUUGAUUAAAGAGGCCGCUGAUGCGGCAAAUAGGGUGGAACCGCGGGUAAACUCUCGUCCCUAUG
rnacentral:misc_RNA from 1 species